UUGGGGAGCACCUGUAGAGGCUCUAAUGCUGGCCACGGGCCCUUGUGGUGACAGUGAUGAGGACCUGGGUGCAUUCGUGAGUGGAGAAGCUAGGCCUGGCCAGAGAAGCAAGACAAACACACACAUAUGUGCGCGCACACACACAGGCACACACACAUGCACAAACACAUUGCAUGCACACAUGUCAGUUCAAGGGAUAGAGGACACUGACUCUGGGCCCUGUUGACCCAAGCAGGCUCCCAUUGUGGUGGGUUGUGUCACCCACAAUGUCACUGUUGCUGAGCCCCCAUCGCCUCUGUGUUGUGGAGCAGUUAGAGACACACAGCAGUGUCUGUGAGUGGCUCUGCGUGAAGGACCAUUUUCUAGCUGAGAGGCACAUCUCAACACAGCUGCCUGAUUAGACUCAGCAAUUCCAUUCUGCAUCUUUUCUGAUCACCCGUGACCACCCAGGACAAGCCCAUCAGGACCAUGUCACCAGGCCCAGUCCGGCUCCAUGAUAACCAAGAUGCAGGUCCAGAGACAACCGCCCUGCAUGGUGCCUGCAUCUGACCCCCCUUGGUGGGUAGUGAUGAGCACAACAUGGAAGAAGCCAGGGCAGCAUGCGGCCAGCUGCCCUGCAGCCCCAGAUGUCUCCUUGGCCUUGGGAAAUCAUUCUUAAAGAGGAAGCUGGUCACUUUGAGGUCCCUGGAGGGAAGGGUGAACGUGCAUCCCAACAGCCCUGGCAGCCAGCAGCAUGCCAUACAUCUUCUCACCCAACCUGUGUGACAGAGCCCCCCUCCUGGGGCACAAGUCCCAUACCUAAAGGGUCCUGUCCCAGUCGGGCCUCAUCCUGGGCCCUGGGAGGGGAGGGGCACCAUGGGCCCCCCUGCAGCAGCCAGGAUUACCACCCAGGGGACUCGGCCUUCUGUGGCCCUGGCCAGACUUAGAAUUUGGCCCAAGAUAAGACAAGCUCACUCGGAGCAGCUUGUCAGUACCCGUGGCCUGUGCAUGCCAAGCAAGGCCAAGCUGGCUCAAAGAGCAACCAGCCACCUCUGCAAGGGUGUGCCAGGAGCCAGUGGACCAGCCACCAACCUCACCUACUCAAGGAAACAGGGAUGGCCAGGUUCCCACAGCCUGAGUGACCACCACCUGAUGGCUGAUGGAGUGGAGCCCUGAGGAAAAGCAGAUGGCACUGGGGCCCUACCUCCAGGGCAGAAUAACUGAUUUAUCCUGACUAGCAGCGAGUGAGGUUGGUGGCUGGUCCACCUGCUCCUGGCACACCCUUGCAGAGGUGGCUGGUUGCUCUUUGAGCCAGCUUGGCCUUGCCUGGCAUGCACAGGCCUCAGUGCAACAACUGUGCUGCAAAUGGAGCCACAUAGAGGAAAUGAGCAGCAGGCUCAGGAGCAGGGUGUGCGCUGCCUUUGGGGCUCCAGUCCAUGCAUCAGGGCUCCUACAGCACUGUGGGCUUCUCGGGUGCCAAGAGGCAGACCACAGGCCAUCUUGAGGAGGACUCUAUGUUCAAGUGCAGAAAGGGCCCAAUCUGGUAGAUGAACCACACAGCCAGCUUCUGGGUGCAGGCAUAGUGCCACAUCUUCCGUCACUUCCUGAUGUUCCCCACCAGUGCUGAAAAGACAGCCUGGAGACAGGGCAAGAGGAAGGCUGAGAAGGAUGAGGUGGUGAGUUCCAGCUUCUUCCUGACCCUGAGCCCACCCCUAGAGUGGCCCUCAACCUUUAGGAGUGGGAGAGCAAAACUGAUGGCUUUGAGUGCUUCACCAAGAAGAUGGACAACAGGGCACUCAGCUCAACUUCACAGCCAAUGAGUUGACAUGCAAGUUGAUCAUAGUCACAGGCUUUAAGAAAGAGCAUCAGAAGGCAGCCAGUUCUUCUUCCACCUCAGCCAGGCCUUGGAGCUGGAACAGGCCAUCACUUCACCAGAGAUGCCUUCAACACCAUCAGUGAGCUCUUUGCCAAUGAGCCCAGCCAGGAACUGGACCCAGUCAUGGCCCUCUUAGUACUAUCUCAGGGACACCAGACCAACAUCCCGGACAUCAUCCACAUACACAAGGAAGCUCUUACCAAAGUCAUGGAGAGUAGGCAACAUGUGACAGAAGGGAAGACAGAGGUGCAGAGGCUGAUAACGUCAGAAUCACAGGAACAGGAUUUUUUGGGACACUUUGGCUGAAAUUCACCACUUCCAUCCAAUUCAAGUGAGAGACAUGAACUCACAGAUGCAGGAUUUCUUGCAACAAGAGAUACUGUUUUUUCAAAAAGUCACCCAGGAUUUGAUAGUGUUGAAUGACUAGAUAUUCCACUGUGGACUGUUUCCAGUUCAGGGAUACUUUCUAUAGCAGAAUAAUAACACUGGCAAAGAGCUAGUGCCAGCUAUUGGUGGUAGGACAAGGAUGAUUUUGUUCUUAAUUGAAACUCAGCUGAAUGUAGAAUUGUGUAGGAAACAGUUAGUAUGGUGAUAGAAUAGAAAGAGUAGCAAACAUGAAGUAAACCAUGCUAUGAAUUCCUACGCUACCAUUGUAACUUUUGAAAGAAUGAUACCACUUAUUUUAUUGCUUUUUGAAGGAUGAAUAUUUUAGUAUAUAUGCUGUAGACCUCAAACCCUGUGAAGAGUCUCAAAGAAGCUGGCUGGAUAAAGCCUGCUGUGGAUGUCUUUAUAUUCCAAGAUUGGUGAUGCAAUUCGAGUAUGUGUCCCCACGAGAUCUCAUGUUGAAUUAUAUUUCCUAAUGUUGAAGGUGGAUCCUGGUAUAAGGUGAUUGAAUCCGGAAGGCAAAUUUCUCAUGAAUGGUUUAGCACCAUCCUCUUGCUACUGUCCUUACAAUCAUGAGUGACUUCUCAUGAGAUCUGGUCAUUGAAAACUCUAUGUCACCUCCCUACUCUGCAUGUUUUCCUCUUGCCAUGUGAGACAACUCUUUCUUCACCUUGCAUGAAGAUUGAAAGAUUUCUGAGGCCUCCCAGAAACAGAAGCCACUAUGCUUCCUGUCUACCCUGCAGAACCAUGAGCUAAUUAAACCUCUUUUUCAAAAUGAAUCAUACAGAAAAUGGCAAAUGAGGACUGCAGCAUUGCUAUAAAGAUACCUGAAAAUGUGGAAGCAGCUUUGGAACUAGGUAAUGGACAGAGGUUGGAAGAGUUUGUAGGGCUCAAAAGAAGACAGAUAGAUGAGAAAAUGUUUGGACCAUCUUAGAGACUGGUUAAAUGGUUGUGACAAAAGUCCUGACAGAAACAUGGACAGUGAAGGCCAGGCUGAGGAGGCCUCAGAUAGAAAUAAGAAGCUUUCUGGGAAAUGUCUUCCUUUUGGAUAUGGAAAGUUUACACAAUGCCUGUACCAUCAUUGUACCUUAGAAGUAGUGAACUUGCUUUUUAUUUCAGAGGCUCAUAGGAAAAAAAGACUGUAGCCUUGACUCAGAUGAGACUUUGGACUUUGUAACUUUGAGUUAAUGCUGAAAUGAGUUAAGACUCAUGCUGGCAAGGCAUGAUUGUAUUUUGCAAUGUGAGAAGGACAUGACGUUCGUGGGGUCAGGGACAGAAUAAUAGGGUUUGUCUCUGUGUCCCUAUCAAAACUCAUGGGGAGCUAUACUCCCUAACAUUAGAGGCAGGGCCUAGGUGGAAAAAAAUUUAGUCAUAAAAUGGUGCGGGAAGAUCCUUCACGAAUGAUAAAGCACCAUCCCCGUGAUGCUGUCCUCCUGAUAGUGAGUUCUCAUGAGAUCUGGUUGUUUAACAGUCUGUGGAACCUCUUUCCUCACUCUGUCUUCCUCCUACUCCUGCCAUAGGAGACAGCUCAUUGUCCUUGGCCUUCUGGUUUAAUUAGGAGGCUCCCUGACUCCUCCCAGAAACAAAAGACACUAUGCUUCCUUCACAGCCUGCAGAAUCCCAAGUCAAUGAAACCUCUUUUAUUUACAAUAAUACAGAAAAUUAGAACUGCAGAGAGGAGCUGUGAAAUGUCUUCAAGGCCUUUUUCCAUUUGUCUUGGCUAUCAGCACAGGGCUUCUUUGUAUGCAAAUUUCUGAAAUCUUGAAUUUUCCCCCCUUAAA